AUUGAACGCUGGCGGCAUGCUUUACACAUGCAAGUCGAACGGGGUGAGGGGGGCAACUCCUCAUUCAGUGGCGAACGGGUGAGUAAUGCAUCGGAACGUGUCCCGUAGUGGGGGAUAACCCAGCGAAAGCUGGGCUAAUACCGCAUAUGCUCUACGGAGGAAAGUGGGGGGACCGCAAGGCCUCACGCUAUGGGAGCGGCCGAUGUCCGAUUAGCUAGUUGGUGGGGUAAUGGCCCACCAAGGCGACGAUCGGUAGCUGGUCUGAGAGGAUGAUCAGCCACACUGGGACUGAGACACGGCCCAGACUCCUACGGGAGGCAG
rnacentral:rRNA from 1 species